GAAGUUCGAAAAGUAAAUCAGUGACAAAGUGUGGUUGCUAUAACUCCAUUCAAAGCUGAGGCAUUUCAAAGAUGCAUAAUGUGAAACUAUUGGUUCGGCCUUCAGACCCUCUAAAACUGAUAAAAUCAUCAAGGAACUAAGGACACUGUUGUAUGCUGGUCUGCUGGAAAAGGUAUAGUGUGUGUAACUUCACGUUUAACAUCUACGCUCUCAGAAGAGGUCUUGUCAUCUGUAUUGGAGCUGUUUACAGUUGGUGAGGGAGAUGGUUCAUGGCAUGGGGGUUGCUUAGCAUUGGCUGAACUGGCAAGGAGAGGAUUGCUCUUACCUACCACUCUCGUUGCUUAGCAUUGGCUGAACUGGCAAGGAAAGGGUUGCUCUUACCUACCAGUCUUCCCAAAGUUGUACCUGUUGUUGUAAAAGUUGUGCGGUUUUUAACCUUCUCAGACUAAUUGAAUUACUAUGAACCUUAGAUGAAGUUCUUCCUUUGAUCCAUAAAAGUUGAUAUGGUUGUAAUGUUUCAUCCCCGAUGGCAAUUGCAUGCCUGAGCAUGGUUGACUUACAUUUUUCGUAGAAAUUAUUUGUUUCAAAUGAGUUUUGGAUCAAGGGUCAAAUUUAUUUGCUGAUUUUGAGCUGUUUCCUUGACAGGCAUUACUUACAUAAUGGUGUUCAAAGAGGUCCGCAUAGUGUUGGUUCUCAUGUACGUGAUGCUGCUGCCUAUGUUUGUUGGGCAUUUGGUCAUGCAUAUUAUCAUACAG